GGGGGUUUCCACCAAAUUUGUGGUUUUCACUGAAGUAUCUUAACAUGCCAUAGAGAUUCAUGGUAAGGUUGGCACUCAAAGGACAGACAAAAAGUUAGCCAUUUGUUUUUCUAUCAUCCUUUUUCUGCUUUCUAGUGAAUAGAAGAGAACCGUCUGUGGGUAACAAUCUUAAAACUUCUGUCCACAUUUCGGUCUUCAGAGAGCUAAAGAAGUAUCAGAAAGAUUUCUCUGGCUGGUGUGGAGAGUGCCAUCGUGAGAAGAAAGAGGCAAUGUCAAUCUAUUGCUGCCUCUAAACUGGAAUUGUUUAGGAUGGAAGGAGAAUCUAGGGUGUAAGUUUUUCUCGCUGUAACAAUGCUGGGUGAUUGUAAAAUAGCACAACUCUCAUUCCUUUACCAUGACACCAUGGCACCACUCUUUGUAUUGUAUGGAGGGAAUUUUUUGUUUUCUUUGUUGUAUCCAUUGAGGAGAUGGCUCUGUAAAGUGGAAAUUCUUAUUGAAGUUCCUGUAAUAAGUCCUAUCUGUUUGCUGGCCUGAAAUUUGUGUGAAUAUUUAUAGUGCCAAAUUUAUUAUGUUUGUUUAUACUGUACUAAAAUUACUGAAGAUUCCUCAGUUGGG